GCGAACUGCGUCAUCUUUCGUAUUUUUCUUGCUCAUAUACCAAAGUGUUAGCCACAAGAUUACGGUGCCGAGUAUCGUCAUGUCAUGUGUGUGUGGUGACUGAUAGUCAUUAACGUGCUCCUCGUGGGCAUGGCGAGUGCGGAUGCGCCUGUACCAAGGUGCACCUGCGACGUCAGGAAUUUGGCUACCUGUUCUACUGUCAAUCAGGAUACCACGAGUAGAGUCGUAAGAAGUUACAGACCACAUGGAAGCCUUGCCAGACUACUUUACGACAAACAAAAGGCAGACGAACAGCUUGAGGCAUACGACAAGACUCAGUGGUACAAAGUAGACAGAACCAAGAUCCGGGAAGAUUUGCUCCGUUUAUGGAUUCCUCUUGGUGCAGGAUUCCAUCAUGAUCAACCUGAUAAAACUGCCGAAAUCUUCCUAAUGAAAUCCAUUGAAAGGUCGGAUUCCUUACCAUUGCAAGCCUGGCAUUCUUUAGCAAGAUCUGCUUUAUCGUGGUUCAUCAGCCGCACUUCUAUAAAUGGAUUACUCGGCCGUGGUUCCAUGCAUGUCUUUUCUUGCGAACAAUUUCAAAAAUUGAUGGUGGCAAGCGGCUUUUUAGGACCAUGGCAUUCGUUGGUGGAUUUAGGGGCAGGCGACGGUGCCACCACUGCUCAUGUAGCUCACCUUUUUGAAAAAGUUUAUGCUACAGACAUAUCAGCACCGAUGAGAUGGGCUCUGGCAAAAAAGAAAUUCACGGUGCUCGAUGUAGAAAAAUGGUACGAAAAUAGUCCCUUCAACGUGAUUCUCUGUCUAAACUUAUUGGAUCGUUGCGAUCGACCUAACACUCUACUUCGCCGCCUAAAGUCAUCUUUAGCUCCAGGUGGUCGUUUGGUCGUAGCUUUAGUUCUUCCAUUCAGCCCUUAUGUAGAAGUUGGUGAAAGAGAUGACCACAAACCGUCGGAAUAUUUGCCAGUAAAAGGGAACGGUCUAGAAGGUCAAAUAGCUAGCCUCGUCGACAGAGUUUUCGCACCAUUAAGUUUAAGAUGUCUGGCAUGGAGCAAACUGCCUUACCUCUGCGAAGGAGAUCUCGGCCAAGCAUAUUAUUUUCUUGACGACGUGAUAUUUGUUUUAGAAGCACAACCAAAUAUUUUAGGAUAGCUCACGAUAUUCUGCUUCUGAAUGGAUGGAUACAGAGCUAUUUGAAAGAAAAUGCUGUAACAUACUCGAACAACAGAGUGGUAAUGAACGAAACACAGCUUGAAACAGGAAUAUGUGGAGGUGGCAGAAAACUUCUUAACGACUGUACAAGCUGUAUUGUAUCCACCAAUGCUGUAACAAAAUCAAUCCAAAAUAUAUACAUUUCUAUUUCAUUAAUGGAAGAAAAUUGGCAAAAGAUAUAUGAAAUAAUCACAAAAGCAGUAUUUAAUAUCUAAUAAUAUUAUUCAUUAAUGUGAUAUAAAAUAUAA